rnacentral:rRNA from 1 species
AUUGAACGCUGGCGGCAUGCCUUACACAUGCAAGUCGAACGGCAGCAUGGAAGAGCUUGCUCUUCUGAUGGCGAGUGGCGAACGGGUGAGUAAAGCAUCGGAACGUACCGUGUAGUGGGGAUAACGUAGCGAAAGUUACGCUAAUACCGCAUACGCACUGAGGUGGAAAGCAGGGGAUCGCAAGACCUUGCGCUAUACGAGCGGCCGAUGUCAGAUUAGCUAGUUGGUAGGGUAAAGGCCUACCAAGGCGACGAUCUGUAGCGGGUCUGAGAGGAUGAUCCGCCACACUGGGACUGAGACACGGCCCAGACUCCUACGGGAGGCAGCAGUGGGGAAUUUUGGACAAUGGGCGAAAGCCUGAUCCAGCCAUGCCGCGUGAGUGAAGAAGGCCUUCGGGUUGUAAAGCUCUUUCGGCUGGGAAGAAAUCGCACAGGCUAAUACUCUGUGUGGAUGACGGUACCAGCACAAGAAGCACCGGCUAACUACGUG